ACUAAGUGACCGAUGUAAUAUUGACAAGCAUUCCUCCUACCCCGUGCGCGGGCAUAAGCCCUUUCCCCUGAAUCCUUUGGUUCGUGCAAGCAUCAUCUAGAAGCGUCUUUCCCUCAGAGAAGCCCUUUCCCCUGAAUCCUUUUGUUUCGUGCAAGCAUCAUCUAGAAGCGUCUUUCCCUCAGAGAAGCCCUUUCCCCUGAAUCCUUUUGUUUCGUGCAAGCAUCAUCUAGAAGCGUCUUUCCCUCAGAGAAGCCCUUUCCCCUGAAUCCUUUUGUUUCGUGCAAGCAUCAUCUAGAAGCGUCUUUCCCUCAGAGAAGCCCUUUCCCCUGAAUCCUUUUGUUUCGUGCAAGCAUCAUCUAGAAGCGUCUUUCCCUCAGAGAAGCCCUUUCCCCUGAAUCCUUUUGUUUCGUGCAAGCAUCAUCUAGAAGCGUCUUUCCCUCAGAGAAGCCCUUUCCCCUGAAUCCUUUUGUUUCGUGCAAGCAUCAUCUAGAAGCGUCUUUCCCUCAGAGAAGCAUUCGUUUGGUUAUUCUUUUGUUUCGUGCAAGGCCUUUCCCUCGAAGAAGCGUCUUUCGAAGCAUCGGAAACCUCAUUGUCUUGCUUUCGAAUAGCAUGUUUGUCUCAUCGUAACUUUGAUUAUGAAGCAAGACUCUUUGUUCUUAAGAAUGAACGCGGAAGAAUCAUUUAAUCUGCUGAGGAGGCGGUAGAUUUUCAGAAGAAAACAUUUGCAUUGAAUCAUUUCCUCUCAAAGCUAUCACAAUCUAAUCACAGCUCUACAUAUCUGAUAUUAGUCUUGAAGAAUUGAAGAAAAGAAAAUGAAAUUUGUACUUUCAUAAUUUGGUUCGUUUGAGUAGAAUUUUUUGAAUCAACACAGUGCAGCAGGAUAUAACAUCUACAUCACUUUAGUGUUGAGGUGGCCCGUGAAAUGGUUUGAUUCGCAUCAUAGUCCAAGGCUACACUACCUGGAUUUUCAUCCAAGGGGCUAUCCAUUGAAGAAGGGGAAUCACUACUAGAAAGGAGUGUCAAAUUGGCAGUUGAAGCCUGUGAUAGUUUCUGGAAUUCAGUCAAAAGAAAUCCUGGGAAUAGAUAUAGAAGAGCUUUGGUUGCAGCCUCCAUUGGAAGCUAUGGAGCUUACCUUGCUGAUGGCUCAGAAUACAGUGGUUGCUAUGGGCCAGAUGUUAAUUUAAAGAAGUUGAAGGAUUUUUAUCACGGCAGAUUGCAAGUUCUCGUUGAAGCUCAGGGAUAUCAAGCCAGACAACUUAUUACUCGAUAGAUAUGGACACUUUAAAUUGUCAGAUUUUGGACUUUGUAAACCAUUAGAUUGUAGUACACUUGAAGAAAAUGAUUUUUCUGUGGGUCAGAAUGUGAAUGGAUCUACACAAAAUGAAGAGCGCACAGCUCCCAAACGCUCACAACAAGAACAACUGCUACAUUGGCAAAUGAACAGGAGGACACUUGUGGUCACUCGGAGCUAUUAUGUACGAAAUGUUGGUGGGAUAUCCACCUUUUUAUUAUUAUGAUCCGAUGUUAACUUGUAGGAAGGUAAUCUUUCGAAUAGAAAUAUUUCUUGUGACUAAUGCUUGUUUGAUAUUCACUUUUGUUAUUAUGAUCAAUCUCUGCGGGACACUCUUAAAAUUUAUUUUGACUUUUGCUUUGCAUUUAUUUUGAACGUUUAACUAUAAGCUACUUUUCUGUCUGUCAGUCUGUCUCUUUUUUUGUAGUUUCUAUCAAAGUCUAUUUUCUAGUAUCAAA